CAACAGGGAUUCCCUCAGUAAGGGCGACUGAACAGGGAACAGCCCAGCGCAUAACCUCGCUGUCGAUAAAAAGACGCGAGGGGUGUUGCGUUUCAGAGGGUCCAGCACGCUGUCCCAUACCACCUAAGUCAUGUUUGGAAUGCAGCCAAUAUCCAGGGAGGGUGAUAGGCCCGUAUGGUGGCACCCGUGAGGGCAUACAUGGGACGGUCGGAAAGGGCCUCUCUGUAGAGUCGGGUUGCAUGAAACCGCAGCCCAAAGUAGGUGGUAAGCUCCAUCUAAGGCUAAAUAUGACCAUGAGACCGAUAGCGAACAACG
rnacentral:rRNA from 1 species